CUCCCUCCAUCUCCAUGACAUGCUGGUUGCACAUACUUUUAUCUCUGUGAGGAAAGCAGGCUGGAGAAAGCAUACGAUCACAUGCUCCUACCACUGGCUGGGAGCCAGCCCAGUACCUCCCCUCCGUCACAUGACCGAGUUUGAUUCAUGGCUCCAGCAUGUAUUUCGGGGCAAAUCCUCCCCAAGGGAAAAACAGAAAGGGGCUGGGGAGGCUUUCUCCAGGCCACACUCCUUGGCUGCCUUACCAUGACCUUCCAAAGGAGAUUCCAAUUUGUCUUUGGCCUUUGCAUCACCCGUCCAUAGCACUACCAUUUUACACAGGUCCUGCAAGCUCCUCAGCAUCUCUCACCACUGGAAAUCCACCUCUUUGCUCAACUGAAAUUUGCUCCAGCUGAAAAUUGUAGUAUUGUUGGGGAGACUAAUAAAAACAAUAUUGAAAUUUCUAA